AACGCACAUUGCGCCCUUUGGUAUUCCGAAGGGCAUGCCUGUUCGAGCGUCAUUAUCACCCCUCGAGCCCCUGUGGCUUGGUGUUGGACGGUUGGGUUCGCUUGAACCCCCUCCUAAAGACAAUGACGGCGGCCUCGCGGAACCCCCGGUACACUGAGCUUCAUCACUGAGCACGUAUCGGAUCACGGGCGCCCGGGCCACGGUCUUUUUUUUCGCUUCUCCUUCACGGGGGGAGUGUUCUCCAAAGGUUGACCUCGGAUCAGGUAGGAAUACGCGCUGAACUUAA
rnacentral:misc_RNA from 1 species